CCCUUGAGGAGGCCUAAAAUGAAUGAACGCGGCUGUGCCUCCUGAGCAGGCUCACAGUUGUGGGUGGGGGACAGAAGGGUGUCCAUGCCUAAGGUCGACGGCGGUAAGACAGACGUUCUUCCCAGGAGAUCAGUUCCAGAGACGGAGGUCUCGCUAUGUUGCCAUACUGGUCUCAAAAUUCCUGGCCUCAAGUGAUCCUCCUGUCUCAGUCCCUGAAGUGCUGGGAUUACAGAACAGGUGGAGAAGUAUGAAGAACGAGGAACACUGCCAGGGGAGUUUCUUCCUCUGCAAAAUAAGGGAGUGUGUACUGAAUUACCUUUUCCAGCUCCAACAUCCAGGAUUUCAGCACUACCUGCACAGUAGUGGGGGGAGAGAUAGAGGAAGCAGGGAAGAUAGGAAAGCACUCUAAGCCGGUGGCUGGGCUUCCGUGGUGGCUGGGACAGCAGCAGUAGUGCUGUCCAUCUGCUCGUCCGAGGGGUGGCACAUCCUAGCCUCUAUCUUUUCCCUAGAGAAGAUCCCUUCGUCUGCUCUUCCCCCCCCCCCCCCCCCCCCCCCCCCCCCCCCCCCCGUCUCAGCCUCAGCCUUUUAGUGUGUGAACAGUUCUGGUGUGACUCAUCAGUGCUUUUGUUAGCGCCUUUACCAGCAAGUACUUGUUAAACACUUAAAUCUUACAAAUGGAAAGAAAAUUCCAUGAUAAAUUUAAGUAUAAAAGUCAACCAAAAUUCUGAGUCUCGGACAAGACUGGUUAAAAAUCGUUCUACAAUGAAACUAAUAUAUUAAAUUCAAUCAUAUAAAACUUUUA
rnacentral:lncRNA from 1 species